UCAGAAACCCAUUAUACAGAGUCAGCCAAAAUAAUGUUUACACACAUCAGGAAAAGAAAAACUUGCCUAAAUAUCUCAAUACCAAAUUUAUUCAGACAUCACUAGAUUAAUAAAAGUUAUCUUUGGCCUCUACAAUUACAAGAGGUGCUCAAAGUGGUGGCCACUGGCUUCCAGACAUUUGUGUUGUAGACGUCACUUGUUGAUGCUCCAUUCAUGAGGGUAAUGCCAUCUGUUGGAAAAACAUCGUACAACAGGACACAGAGUUAUCGUGAUUUGAUCAAACUUCAAAAGAGGUAUCUAUAUGUAUAGAAGUACUUAUACAUAUGAAAUAUUUAUAAAAGUUUUUCUUUUCCUGAUGUGUGUACAUUAUUUUGGCUGACUCUGACUCUGUGAACUUAAUGAGAACAAAACUGUCAUUUAAUUGUUGCUCUGAAAGCUUCUUUAGUGAAAACUGGCUGGUGUUCUGCUUUGAAACAAACUGCUGUUGAGGUCUGUGUUUUUAGGUUUAACCCCACAGUUUCUGAAUGAACUGAUAGUUGUUUUGUUUUUUCCUGAUCAAUGUGGACGUUAUAAUUGAUGGUAACAUUUACUGAUGAUAUAAUCAGCAUGACAAUAUAACAGUAGAACAUUCUGACCACCUGACUAAUACUGUGUUGGUCCCUUUAUGCUGCUAAAACUCCUCUGACCCAGUGGUUCAUCAGAACCUCUGGGGAUGUCCUGUGGAUCCUGUGGAUCCUGUGGGUUGCAGGGUGGGUCCUACCUAGACCAGGCUGAUCCUGGACCAUCCCACAGAUGCUCCAUCAGAUGUGGAUGUGGGGAGUGUGGAACCCAGAUGUUCAGAGGGAGAUGAUGCCACAUCUGGUCCAGCUGAUGGAAGGUCUUGAAGUUCUCUGACUGGCCUCGACUGAAGAUGGUCGUCUCACUGGAUUUAAGAUGCACAAUGAGGGACAUCUGCAGAGACUGAGAAAGAGUCUCACCACAUCCUGACAUGAGGAAAAAGACUUUAUUGAAGACUACAAUGAGAAAAACUAUCAGACAGCAGACGGCUGCAUUCAAGGCUACAGGAGGAGCCCUACGAGGACGAGCCGGUCCACCUGAUGGUGGCCAGUCGCUGCGGUUCAAAGCCAACACCGACUACGUGGACUUCUACUGGACCACAUGGAGGCCUUCAAACCGGACCAACAAGUUCAGCGACUCCCCGACUCGUGGGUCUGAGGAUACCGAGUCCACCCUUUAGGGUCUAUAUUUGAGGUUUUAGGUGGAAUAUUCCUUGUGAGAAACCUCAAUCCAGACUCCUCAUAAUGACAUUUGAGAUUCAUGCUGCUGUUAUUUGUUUAGUCCAGACUAAACAACAGAAAUCCACAACUGUAAUUUUAUUUCAGGACUCAGUUAUUAAAUAUCAAAACAAUCUAUGUGACUCUAAAACCUCAACAGCUUUACAAACUCUAAGAUUAAACUCUCCACAAGGAUACAAAAUAAGUUGGACUUCUACAUGAGAGCUUUAAUUAUUCUUCAUCUACUUCCUGAAAAGUUUGGUUAAUAAAAAAGACAAAAACUAAUAUUUUCAGCUGAACUAAAGACAGACUUUGUGAUUUUUCUGCUCACGUUGUGUUGUUGUAAACUUCCUCUUUCAAAUAAAUAUCCUCCUAACCCCCUGGAAACCAGCGUUUGUCCUGUUUUUGUGUUGCUCAUCAGCUACCCUAGACAGCUGGGUCAUAAUGUUUUUUCAGCAACACACCAUACUAUGACGUUUUUACAAUAAGGGUUCUACUAUGAAACCAGUUUGACAUGUUCAGGUGUUCUUUGUGUGAAAACUCAGAGAUUUCAGGUAUCAGAAGGUGGUUUUCAACUUCCUUUAACUUUCUGCUUCAACUUUAACCUAAAUUUCCUUGACUAACCCAGCCCUCUGGACUUCCAGUAAGCUGUGCUCCUAUUGGCUGUCCAGGUGGCUGCUUGGUGUUAUCAGGAACACCUGAGCAGCUCAGUGUCUUCCUGCUUUAUUUAGCUGCAGACAAACAUUUCCUCUGCUUCUCUUCACCGUUGAACCGGGUUUGGUUCCGUUGCUUUAGUUAGUUCUUUAGGCGUUGGCUUGCAGCUUCCAGCAGUAAAAUCAUCUUUAAUGUGUUUCUUGGUGUGUUUUAGGGCUUUGUACUGGAUAGUUGUCUUGGUAAAUGUGGUUCUUUAGCCACAGUUAGCACAUGGUGCUAAUGUGUGCAGUGAUUAGUGGAUUUGUUGCAGCUGAGUUGUGUCUUUAUCUUGGCUGUAGUGAGUCUUCAGAGGUUUUUGGUCAGACACAUUCUGUAUUCUUGUUUGAGAACCAACGUUGGUUGUCCAGAAGGUAAGAGUUCCUGUCCUGAUUCUCUGUUCUCAGAGGUUCUCUGGUAGGCUGCAGGAGACUUUAGUAUUUGGGUUGUGUUAGUUUGGUUUUUGUACGGUUUCAUUUGGACGACUAUCUUGAGGCCCCUCCAUGUGGUUUAGUGAGGUUUUCUGGAACAGUUCUACAAAGCAACCUGCAGCAGAAGAGACUUUGAGAGUUUUUAGAAAGUUCUGGAGACCAGACUUUAGAGCAGCAGAAACAUUUGUCAGCAGUUUGAGCAGGAGAAGGUGAGCUUCAGAGUAGAAAUGAGAAGGAAACCUUCUUGACCCGUGUGGUGAGGUCCUGUACCAAGAGUUUGAGCAGGUUGUGAAGAGUCUGUAGUUCUUUGGUCUGAAAGCACAAGAAGAGUCGACUCAUUAAAGGAGAAAACAGGAGAUAUUGUUGGUUCUUCUGUCGCUCUGCAGUUUCCAGUUUCCUUAGACUGAAUAUCCAGUUUAUAUUUUAAAUGAUUUCCCAUGUGAGCCCAAGAAGACUUCAAUAAACUCCCUCCAUCCCCUGGACACAACAAAUUUUAUUACCAUGUUAAAUCUUUUUUUUUUUUUUUUUUUUUUUAAUGUUUUUGAGUUUUAAUCAUAGUUUUUUCUCUUUGCUUGUUUAGUUUUGUCAUCUGUGUGAAAGGUGCGAAACAAAUAAAGCUGAAUUGAUAAACUGAAUAACUGACUAACUC